UGGAAACGACUGCUAAGACUGGAUAGGAGACAAGAAGGCAUCUUCUUGUUUUUAAAAGACCUAGCAAUAGGUAUGCUUAGGGAGGAGCUUGCGUCACAUUAGUUAGUUGGUGGGGUAAAGGCCUACCAAGACUAUGAUGUGUAGCCGGGCUGAGAGGUUGAACGGCCACAUUGGGACUGAGACACGGCCCAAACUCCUACGGGAGGCAGCAGUAGGGAAUUUUCGGCAAUGGAGGAAACUCUGACCGAGCAACGCCGCGUGAACGAUGAAGUAUUUCGGUACGUAAAGUUCUUUUAUUAAGGAAGAAUAAAUGAUGGAAAAAUCAUUCUGACGGUACCUAAUGAAUAAGCCCCGGCUAACUAUGUGCCAGCAGCCGCGGUAAUACAUAGGGGGCAAGCGUUAUCCGGAAUUAUUGGGCGUAAAGGGUGCGUAGGCGGUUAAAUAAGUUUAUGGUCUAAGUGCAAUGCUCAACAUUGUGAUGCUAUAAAAACUGUUUAGCUAGAGUAAGAUAGAGGCAAGUGGAAUUCCAUGUGUAGUGGUAAAAUGCGUAAAUAUAUGGAGGAACACCAGUAGCGAAGGCGGCUUGCUGGGUCUUUACUGACGCUGAGGCACGAAAGCGUGGGGAGCAAACAGGAUUAGAUACCCUGGUAGUCCACGCCGUAAACGAUGAGUACUAAACGUUGGUUAAAACCAGUGUUGAAGUUAACACAUUAAGUACUCCGCCUGAGUAGUACGUACGCAAGUAUGAAACUUAAAGGAAUUGACGGGACUCCGCACAAGCGGUGGAUCAUGUUGUUUAAUUCGAAGGUACCCGAAAAACCUCACCAGGUCUUGACAUGCUUCUGCAAAGCUGUAGAAACACAGUGGAGGUUAUCAGUUGCACAGGUGGUGCAUGGUUGUCGUCAGCUCGUGUCGUGAGAUGUUGGGUUAAGUCCCGCAACGAGCGCAACCCUUAUUGUUAGUUACCAGCACGUAAUGGUGGGGACUUUAGCAAGACUGCCAGUGAUAAAUUGGAGGAAGGUGGGGACGACGUCAAAUCAUCAUGCCCCUUAUGACCUGGGCUACAAACGUGAUACAAUGGCUGUUACAAAGGGUAGCUGAAGCGCAAGUUUUUGGCGAAUCUCAAAAAAACAGUCUCAGUUCGGAUUGAAGUCUGCAACUCGACUUCAUGAAGUUGGAAUCGCUAGUAAUCGCGAAUCAGCAUGUCGCGGUGAAUACGUUCUCGGGGUUUGUACACACCGCCCGUCAAAC
rnacentral:rRNA from 1 species